rnacentral:rRNA from 1 species
ACGAACCGAGCGAACGUUGUUCGGAAUCACUGGGCUUAAAGGGCGCGUAGGCGGGCUGUCAAGUCUGGGGUGAAAUCCCGCGGCUCAACCGUGGAACUGCCUCAGAUACUGACGGCCUCGAGGGAGGUAGGGGCGAGCGGAACUAAUGGUGGAGCGGUGAAAUGCGUUGAUAUCAUUAGGAACUCCGGUGGCGAAAGCGGCUCGCUGGACCUUUUCUGACGCUGAUGCGCGAAAGCUAGGGGAGCAAACGGGA